AGAACAUAAAGGAUACACCUUCAUGAAAAUUCGCCAAUUAGAAUAAAAUGUGCAACACAUAAAGGAUGAAAUUGCGCAAAGAAUGGUCCCUGGAAACCUAUGAGGAAAUGCUAGACUUUGAUAACAUUAAUUCUGAGGAACUUGUUCUAAAGCUUGGCAAAUUCUAUACUGAGGCAACCCCAAAUCUUGACCAAAAACGUUUUAAAACACGAAGCGAAUGGGCCAAAUCGCUCACCUGAGCAAGAAUAGACAUAACUAGACAACAUUGAGAUGGCAACCAUCUCAAAGGGCCCUGCUUAAAUAAUGGACUACAGGUGAAAAACAUUUCAGAGAAGUUUACUUUGACCUUGUCCUACAACUUAGAAAUUUUCCAGCUGGCAUAAAACUUUUAAUUUAAUCUCAUUACGCCUUACAAACAUACAUUUUUUUUUAACCUGAGCAAGAUCAAGCUAAUGGGAAAUAAUCUACGGUCUUAAACUGAUUAUAAAAAGAUUCGUUAUGACCUUCA